rnacentral:rRNA from 1 species
ACUAAAUAAAAAAAAAAUUUUUAAUUUAAAAAAUAUGAUAGGGGGUUUAAGUAUUAUUUAAAGAAAAAAUUAAAAUAUUUAUAGUUUAAUAGUAUAGUAAUAGAAAUUUGAAAUAAUUAAAAAUUAAUUAUAAUAAAAGUAGAUUUAAUUUAUUAUAUCUUGUGUAUCAGAGUUUAUUAAAAAUUUAAUAAAGAUUAUUAUUAUUCUCGAAUUUAAAAGAGUUAAUUAAUUAAUUAAUUUAUUGUUGAAUAAAUAUUUAUAAUAAUUAAUUUGAAAUGAAAUGUUAAUCGUUUUUAAAUAUAUCUAGUUUUUUUUGAAAUAAAUUUAAUUUAUAAUUUAAUUUAUAAUAUUUUAAAUAAAAAAAAUAUUUUAAAUUAAAUUUAAAUAUUAUAAGGGAUAAGCUUUAUAAUAAAUUUUUAUAAUAAAAUAAGAUUAAUUAAAAAUUUUAUAAAUUAAAUUUUUAAUAAAUUUUAAUUUUUUAUAAAUAAUUUUAAUUAAAAAAAAAUUUUAGAAUAAUUUAAUUUUUUAAAAAAAUAUUAAUUAUAAUAAAUAAAAUUAAGAAAUAAUGAUAAAAUUAGUAUAUUUUUAAUAUUUAUUUAAUUAUAAUUAAAUAAAAAAUUUUUUAAAGGAAUUCGGCAAAAAUUUAUAUUUACCUGUUUAUCAAAAACAUGUCUUUUUGAAAAUAAUUUAAAGUCUAAUCUGCCCACUGAAAUUAUUUAAAGGGCUGCAGUAAUUUGACUGUACAAAGGUAGCAUAAUCAUUAGUCUCUUAAUUGGUGACUGGAAUGAAUGAUUGGAUAAGAUAUAAUCUGUCUCUAAGAAAGAUAUAAAAUUUAAUUUUUUAUUUAAAAAGAUAAAAUAAUUUUAAAAGACGAGAAGACCCUAUAGAGUUUAAUAAUAUUUUAAUUUAAAAUUAUUUAUAUAAAAAUUGAUAAAAAGUUAAAAUAUUAUUUUAUUGGGGUGAUAAAAAAAUUUAAUUAACUUUUUUUUAUAAUUAAUAUAAAUAAGUAUAAUUUUUGAUCCAUUAAUAAUGAUUAUAAGAUUAAAUUACCUUAGGGAUAACAGCGUAAUUUUUUUUUUUAGUUCUUAUAAGAAGAAAAGUUUGCGACCUCGAUGUUGGAUUAAGAUAAAAUUUAAAUGUAGAAGUUUAAAAUUUUGAUCUGUUCGAUCAUUAAAAUCUUACAUGAUCUGAGUUCAAACCGGUGUGAGCCAGGUUGGUUUCUAUCUUUAAAUAAAAUUAAUAUUUUAGUACGAAAGGAAUAAAUAUUAAAAAUAAUUUUGUUAAAAUGAAUAUUAAUAAAUGAAA